AUGCCAUGGAGUGGACACUCCCUUUAAAGAUCUUUGUACCUUUUCCAUGCAUCAUAAAUAGAUUCAUUGUCAUUUUGCCUAAAGGUAUUAAGUUCAGUUCUUAGUUU